GCAGGGUUAGUGAAGCGGUCAAACACAACAGACUGUAAAUCUGUCCUCAUUCGAGUUCGUAGGUUCGAAUCCUACACCCUGCACCA
rnacentral:tRNA from 1 species